rnacentral:lncRNA from 1 species
CUGGAUUCCAUUCCGUCUUCCUUGAGGGCCCCACCCUCAUCCCGGCACGUGAUGACGUAGGACGUAAGGACGCCCCCCCCCGCCGGUAGCCAUCUUCGUGCAUAGGCAAACUUAUUGUAGCUAGACUGUACAAAGUAUAUCAAGAUAUGCCAAAUAUUGAGCUUAACUUCACCUGUUUGAGAGACGUGUUGUGAACCACUUGUCAUGGGAUAACCAAAAUUAAACCUGGAAUCGCAGAAGAAACAAAUUUUUUGAAGAAAUUGGAUGUACUUUUUUAAAAUUUUUCAUUCAACUAAAACUUUGUUAACUGUUUCUUGGUUGUGGUCUUCUCUAAAUUGUAAUCUUUGGCAUUCACUUCCAAAGUAUCCACCACUAAACUUCAUAACAUUUAUUGUGUCUCUUCAUCAUUAAACUUUGAUGAAUUUACAGAGUGUCUUUUGAAAUUAUGUUCUUGAGAAAGCCAGGGGAUUGGACGGUGUCAUGGAAAUGUCAAAGAAAAAGUGACACCUGAGAGAAAAUUUGAAAGAUGAAAGGUGCACAUCAUGGAGACAAUCUGACUGGUACAGAGAAAUGAAGAGACAACAUUUUCUUUCCAAAUCUGAGUGGAGAUGAAGAUUCCUGAAACAACAAUCAAAAGGAACUUUGGACUCUGACUGAGGACACAUCCAGCAAUGGCAAAGCACUCUAGCCACUGCCCAGACCCAUGGAAACUUCAGGAAGAGGCAGUUUAGUGCUUCUGGUAGUUGUCUAAUCAAGAUUAGGACUCUUAUUUAUCAUCUUCCUCUGGCAUUUUUGCACCAGUCUUCAGGUUUUAGCAUAGUAAAUAUGUUCCAGUCUGUGAAAUCUCUCUGUUUUAUUCCAAAUAAAUAAAAAAGCAUAAUAGUAGAAAUUAAA